rnacentral:lncRNA from 1 species
CAACUACUGAUUAUGUAUUAGUUCGACCUGUAUCUAUAGCACGAUUUCUCCUGACGGUGUGCAAGUUAGGUGGAGCGAUCCUCAUUGCACCAGGGUGUACGCGUGUCACCAAUAAACACAUGCCUGCUCUAUAUCCUUACUGGCUAUAGGGUCUGAUUUCCGCACGUCAAGAGCUGCUUGUGUCCUGGGAGGAGAGCGAGCCGUUCCCUGUGUCUGUCAGAGGAGUGAAGGUGCCAAAAUGCCGGCCCAUCUGGGCAGGCAACACGCUGCCAAAGAGAGGGGAAGGAGAACUCCCGUCCUGCUUCUAGUAGUCCUUUCUGCUGGAGCCUUCCUCUGGAUAUUGGCAGCUUGGAAAAAUGACGUCCUGCAGGUCAGUGCUGUGGUGUGCGGCAGAGGCCAAAGCUCUGCCCUUCUGCCUCCGCGGGGACGGGGGAGUUUGGCCAUGGGCUCAUCACUGCUGAGACAGAGGGUGGGCCCUUGAGCCGGGCUGGGGGUCGCCUUGGCAGCAGGAUGGGCUUCGGUGUGGAAGCAUCUUCCCAGUGCCCACCACCGAGCUCGGGCUGAAGGCGGUGGCACGUGGGAAGAAGGGGCCUUCAACCAAUCCUUGGCACUGCGGAGCCUGGAGGGGAUUGGAAAGCAAACAAAGAAGCAGCAGAUGCUCUGCAGGAUGCAGAGGGCUUAAGAGCCCAACUUUGGGCAGCGGUUCUCUGCAAACUGCUGGGAAGCAGCAGGACAUUCUGCCAGCAGUUCCCUGGGAAGCUCCUUUGGAUGCCGUGCUCCUGGUGCUUCCUCCCAUCGAAUGCCUUUCUCUUCCAGCUGGUGUCAGCAGGACCUGUGCAUGAGCUCCCGUGUCUGGGCUAAGAACACUUCCUUGCCACGCAGCUGGCUCUGUGGUGUGGCCUCAGCUGGCUGUGCGCUCUUUGCAUGCCUUUGCCUUGUGCCCAGGGCUCCAGCCUUUCCUGUCUUGACGGUGUAAGGCAGCCCUUGCCAAAGCAAAGGAAUGAAAGGGGUGGAGGGAUAAGGAAGGGCACAACCCCCAGAAUCCUUCACCUCAUGGCACUGGAGCUCUGACCUGCGGGGUGGGCAGCGCUGAACAAGACUUGCUUUGCCUUUGCCUUCAGGAACUCACCGGUUUGCCUGGAGGGGAAGAGGCAGGAGCUGAAAAUG